AGCAGCCGCGGUAAUUCCAGCUCCAAUAGCGUAUAUUAAAGUUGUUGCAGUUAAAAAGCUCGUAGUUGAAUUUCGGGAUCAAUUCGUCGGUCGUGCUUUUUGUACGUACUGGUGUUAUUGGUUUCUCCUUUCUGACGAACCAUGAUGUCAUUAAUUUGGUGUUAUGGGGAGUUAGGACUGUUACUUUGAAAAAAUUAGAGUGUUUAAAGCAGGCAUUAGCUUGAAUACAUUAGCAUGGAAUAAUGAAAUAGGACGUUCGAUCCUAUUUUGUUGGUUUCUAGGAUCAACGUAAUGAUUGAUAGGGAUAGUUGGGGGCAUUAGUAUUCAAUUGUCAGAGGUGAAAUUCUUGGAUUUAUUGAAGACUAACUACUGCGAAAGCAUUUGCCAAGGAUGUUUUCAUUAAUCAAGAACGAAAGUUAGGGGAUCGAAGACGAUCAGAUACCGUCGUAGUCUUAACCAUAAACUAUGCCGACUAGGGAUCGGAUGAUGUUAAUUUUUUAAUGACUCAUUCGGCGCCUUA
rnacentral:rRNA from 1 species